rnacentral:rRNA from 1 species
GACGAACGCUGGCGGCGUGCCUAAUACAUGCAAGUAGAACGCUGAAGGAGGAGCUUGCUUCUCUGGAUGAGUUGCGAACGGGUGAGUAACGCGUAGGUAACCUGCCUGGUAGCGGGGGAUAACUAUUGGAAACGAUAGCUAAUACCGCAUAAUAGUAGAUGUUGCAUGACAUUUGCUUAAAAGGUGCAAUUGCAUCACUACCAGAUGGACCUGCGUUGUAUUAGCUAGUUGGUGAGGUAACGGCUCACCAAGGCGACGAUACAUAGCCGACCUGAGAGGGGGAUCGGCCACACUGGGACUGAGACACGGCCCAGACUCAUACGGGAGGCAGCAGUAGGGAAUCUUCGGCAAUGGACGGAAGUCUGACCGAGCAACGCCGCGUGAGUGAAGAAGGUUUUCGGAUCGUAAAGCUCUGUUGUAAGAGAAGAACGCGUGUGAGAGUGGAAAGUUCACACUGUGACGGUAUCUUACCAGAAAGGGACGGCUAACUACGUG